CCUCCAGGCCUGGGAUCUUGGGUCAGGCCAUGGAUAAAGUUCAGUGGCUAAGAAAGAGAUAUGAAUAUUUACAAAAAUGUUAUUGAUGAAGAAUUACAAGUCAACACAAAAUAUAAAGGGAACUUGCAAUAUUGUUGAAGAAGACAUUGGAAGGAUCAACCAAUUCUACUGAGCAAUUCGGGAAA